GCAUCCAAGUUAGUAAGACUGAAACUAUUUAGCUUUUAUUUUACUUGCAUUUGGACCAAGAAAAAAAAAGUUGAUUUGUGGCCUGUGCUCACCAAGGAUGAAGGAAACUUUCUUGAACCACCAUUUGUCCCAAGGUUUUCUUCCCCCAUCAUAUUAAGAGUCUUCAGGUUUUCUGAAUCUCACCAGAAAAGAAAUCCAGAAGUUCAUGGGUGUUCGUGAUGCCAGGUGAUUUCUCAUCACUCACUCUAGACUAUACUUCUCC
rnacentral:lncRNA from 1 species